AUUUUAAACGAAGUUUUGAAAAACUAUGUCAGAUGGCAGUAAACGUAAAAGGCGUUUACAUACGCAAUACUUAAUUUUGUGUAUAUCAUUAUGAAGUGCUGAUAGAAAGGAAAAGAGACAAAGUAGUUUAGUGACAGAUACGAAAGAGUGUUGUAUUUAGCGCUCUAGAAGGAAUAAGAAAGCAAUUAUUUUCACGAAAGGCACGUAGACUUUAACUGCAUAAAAAUGCCAGAUCUAUCUAGUAUAUCGCAUUUCCCAUUAAAGGUCAUAUUUGCAAUUCAUCUGGUUCUCGUAACAUGGGGUAUUCAAGGACAUUGGUGCCCAAGAUCCGCGAUGUUCUACAAUUUACUAUUUUUUAUCUGCUUACUGUGGGCUGUGCACAACAUUGAAUCAGAUGAACCAUUACAAUUUGCUCUCUUCAUAAACGUAUUGUCAAUAUUUUUCGACAUAGUGACUUUAUCUGUUUACUUUCCAAUUGGUCUAGCAUAUGCGUCUGAGAAGUUUAGUGCAGCGUUUAUGAUAAUAAACCUGAUCGUGCGUGUUGUCACGAGUAUAUAUCUAUUGCGGAUAGGACAAGCAAGAGGUGGAAGUCUUGCUACAAUGUUUACAUCCUGUCCUCCCAUGGGUCAGUAGUCCAUAGGAUACAGAUGUGCACUUGGUAGCCUUUUAUCGCUUCGACAAUUUUCUGCUAUAAGUAUGAGCAUGGUGAACGCUUCAGUUUUACGUAUAGCUCGACAGGAUUACGAGGACAUAUCUCACUCGAUACCUCAAAAUUCUGAUUUCGUUGGAAUCUAGAUUAUUUUUAUAGUACAUAUUAUAAGAACUAAUAAUGUUCAAUCUUGGAUUUGUUUUUUGCAAGCGGAUCACUUAACAUAAGCUUAAACAAUAAUAUUAUGAAUCUCAUAUGAUAUUAUAUUUCCAUUACUUCUUCUAUCAAGGCGACAAACAAACGAAAAUGUAAUUAAAUAUUAUCAAAGAUACAUACCAGUGCGAACAUAAUCGAUCAGAUUUUAAAUGUAACUAUAGUGCCAAGUUACAUUUUAACAGAUUAUACUUUCGAUAAAAUAUUUUACCCUUUUUCUUAUAGAAUUUUAUUAUUUACGUCGAGUCGUUAAUAACAAUAAUUAAUACUGAUACAAAUGAUAUUUAUUGUUUCUUAUCAUUAUUAUUAAUUACGUGCAUGCAUAUGGUCUAACACAAGCAAGUAAUAUUGUUAAAAUCGCGUUAAAUGUUUCGAUUAGUUGUAUAUUCAAUACUUCGUAAUAUAACCAUGUAUUUUAAUUAAUUGUAUAUAUGAUAAAUUAUAUAUAUACAAACAGAUUUAAUAUAUUAUACUUGUAGAUCUAUUCUGUACGACUACUUUUAUCUGCAGAUUUGCAAAUAAAAUUCUUUAUAACAAUGUAA
rnacentral:misc_RNA from 1 species